CGUAAAACACCAAAGCCCUUUCUUCCACUCUAUUUCACGUACAACAAACAAGUUCUCAGCCGUUUCUCUUUCUCCUUUCUUCACGACCACCGCGUCCAGCCCAGCCGCCGGACCACCAGUGUUCGUCGCCGCCGCAACACCGCGACCCAGGCCAGCCGACCACCGCACGCAGCCACCGACGAUCCCUAACGCCGCCACCUCGCCUAGCCGCGCCACCCUGUCCGCCGACCAGCACUCCCCUCUCCCUCUCGAAUUGGCAGAGAAUUCUCUUUAGGCGACUUUUGAAAGUGUUAAAGUGGCCUAUCAGUUUGUUUACACAAGUCUCUAAGGAUCAAUAAGCAUUGCCCAUCUACAGGUUUGAAGAUGAUGCAUCAUGGGGAUCGGGAUUAGAGAGCUUGUAUUUAGUUUUGUUUUGCUAAGUGACUUGGUUUGUUAAUUUGGACUUUAAACUUGUCGUACUAUUUAUAUUUCCUUAUUUUCGUUGAUUGGUUUUUGGGAUUAAACCUGUAAUCGAUUAUUUAUAAACCUAAAGUUAGUUUUA